rnacentral:rRNA from 1 species
GACGAACGCUGGCGGCGUGCUUAACACAUGCAAGUCGAACGAUGAACUUGGAGCUUGCUCUGGGGGAUUAGUGGCGAACGGGUGAGUAACACGUGAGUAACCUGCCCUGGACUCUGGGAUAACUUCGAGAAAUCGGAGCUAAUACCGGAUAGGACCUUGCACCGCAUGGUGUGGGGUGGAAAGUUUUUCGGUUUGGGAUGGACUCGCGGCCUAUCAGCUUGUUGGUGAGGUAAUAGUUCACCAAGGCGUCGACGGGUAGCCGGCCUGAGAGGGUGACCGGCCACACGGGGACUGAGAAACGGCCCAGACUCCUGCGGGAGGCGGGAGUGGGGAAUAUUGAACAAUGGGCGCAAGCCUGAUGCAGCAACGCCGCGUGCGGGAUGACGGCCUUCGGGUUGUAAACCGCUUUUAGUAGGGAAGAAGCCUUCGGGUGACGGUACCUGCAGAAAAAGGACCGGCUAACUACGUGCCAGCCGCCGCCGUAAGAC